UUCAAUACAAAAAUAUAUCAAAGUGUACUAUAGUUUUACAAACUAAAUUGAAAUGUCAUUCACUUCAACCAUUACGAUUACAAGAAACUUCAAAUCUUGCUUGAACUUCAAAUCACUACAAAAACUUGCUUAAACUUCAAAUCACUAGCAUCCAAACUCAAGAUAGGAUCUGCAACAGUUCAUGAAACUCAGCGGAUUUCACUACGAUAUCACCUGGCUGCAAAGAGAAAUACACAAUAAGCGACUUCAUCCAAACUCAAAACAUGGAUGAAUAUAGCAUACUUGAUGAAUUUAGUACUACCAGCCAGUUAAGUUAUAUGGUGGAAUAAGACAUGUUAGUUGACAAGAAUAUAUUACAACAAUAACAACAUAAUACACAGUGAAAUUUCACAAGCGGGUUUGGGAAAGGUAGAAUAUACGCACAAGUAAUGACUUAUCCCCAGUUACGCUUGUCAGGGAGCAAAAGGAAAACAAUUACUAUUGUUUAUGUCCAGCCAAAUAAUACAACUUACAGAGUUAAGAGCCUGCUCAAGAAAUACAUCAGUAGCUACCUUUUUGUGUAACUCAAACCAAUUGGGUCUGCGAUGGCCACAAGCCACUACUCCCCUGUACUAAUUUUACUUUUUAAUGAAAUGCUUCAUAUUUCCUUACCAAAAAAAAAGUAACAACAAAUGGGUCCUAGUUAGAUAAAGUCUAAAGAUUAAUUCAUUGGGAAAAGAAAUUAAUUAGUAAUAUCUAUAUGGCUAGAUCUCACAUUAGUUGUACACUGAAAUGUACCUCUAAUCCUUAAUUCUUUGAAGUAUCAAAGUUCCAGAGAAAAAGAUUUUACUUACCAAUGCCAACCACCUUGCUAUGCCUAUAUAACAUAAUUAUAGGUGCAGUAAGUUCUCAAGACAAUGUAAAAUAUUCAUUAAACAACACCAACAACUAUAUAAAAGCUAUAACUUGAAAUGUAAAAGUCCAACUAGUGAAUUAGAAAAUACCAGUUACUAUUCAGAUGAUCAAUUAUAAUUUUUUGAAAAGGCACAAUUACUAAAAAUAAUGUGACCUCUCAAAACUGAACAUGAGUCUAAUGAUGCUUAGGAUUGGGUCUGUUGGGAGAAAUUGAAUUUUGCUUGCAAAAAGAGUCCACUGGCCAUCCAAGAUGUAAUCUUGGCAAUAAUCUUGUCCACUAAGGGUUUAAUUGGACUAUUGUAAGCCUUUUAGGUGUCGUUUAAUACAAAGAUUAAUAAUGUAGGGAUUAGUAAUGCAAGGUUCCUUAGUAAAAUUGUUUGGCACACCUAGAUAUUUGAAACAGAGUUCUCCAACCUCAUAUCCAAGCAUAGUCAAGAUGGUUUCCUUAGUAAAUUUGUUAAUACCUUCAAAACAUACCUGACUUUUCAAAAUGAUGGUCUUCAAAUCAGAAGCAUCAGAAAACAUAUUGAAUUUACCCCUCGAUAGUUGUAGUUGUAUAGAUCUGACAUCUCAUCUAGUAAAUAUAGUAAGUCAACAGCAACAAAGUACUGAUUCAAAACUGAUGUCAACAUCUAGAUGGAAAAAAAUGUUUCAUCAAACUUUCUUAGUUGUAAAUCAGCACAACUACAAAGAAAAAAGACAUUCUUGCAACUCUUCCAAAUCUGUUUGGGUUAAAGGAAUUUUGCAUUUAACUAUCAUUCCAUCUUCACUAACUAUCUAAAGGACAAAAUCAAAUAAAAAAAUACAAUAAACUCACAAGAUUUGUAGAGCGUCGCAGAACUUGAGCGAGUUGUGCAUGACUGCUUAUAAGAGCUUUUAUCUUCUUCAACAAUGCAGCCACAAAUAUUGACACUAUAGCACGAAAAAAUAGUGCAAACUGUCUUAAAGAAAGAUCUCAUCAGAAAAAUGAGAACCAAAUUUAAAAAGAAUAGCUGAAAAGUAGAUGAAACUUACGGAAAUAGCUGGGAAUAUAGACGAAAUCAGGUUCAGUAAUGUGGGAGGAGAUAGUGGUGGGAGUGACGUCUUUGGGAUCGGUGGCAAAAGGGAUGGUUGGGUUUGGGGACAAUUCCAGUUGUUGGGGAUGAUCGUAACAUGUAUACUCAAUAUACUCGAUAUGGUUAGUCAAUCGAUAAAGUGAAACAACCUUAUGGUGCUACUUCUAAUCCUACACAGGCUGAUGACGCGACAAGAAAGAACAGUUCAUCAUCAAACAAGUUGAAAACACCACAUUUCUCCAAUAUCACCACCUUAUAACAUAGAAACAAAUAUCAUAUCUCUCAAAUUUACCAGAUUCACUUACAACUAACAAAAAUCAAUUAAGAAGUUAAUCUAUCCAACCAAAAAAUCAAUUACUAGCAAGUUAUUCUCUAUGUAAACCUUAUUUAAUUAGAUUAUCCAUAUUGAAACCCUAAAGAAUCGAAGUUUAGGGGAAAUCCAAAAAGUACAAUAGUUAUAAACCUUAGAAAGAGCUGAAGCUUCUCCAUGGUGCAGGACGUAGGGCAACGAGCCUAUUGGAGCAUUCUUUUACUCCAAAAUCGGCGAAGAUAUUGCAGAUUUUCUGAAACUAAAAUAGAUUCAAAAUACAAAUCUCAAAACUUUUUACAAACAAUUUGAAGUUGAGAAAAAAAAAAUCAGUUGAUUUAUAGAUUGAAAAUGCAUGAAAAUGAGGAAAAGAGAACUCAUUUUUGAAGCUUUCGAUGUCUAAAUUAAGGAGCAAUUGUUAAAUAGAGAGAAAUUGGGAAGUAAGAGAGGAGAAGAGAAGUAUGAACCAACGAUACCGCCAAUCGCCACCGCCGCCUCCAUCUUUUCCUACUCCGACCACUGUUAUUGUGGAUGAAGACAGUGAUAGCUCCGCCACCAUGGAUUCGCCACCGUGCCGCCUCCAUCACUUCCUACUCCAACCCUAAUUAUCAUAUGAAAAUUGAUCAGUUCGGGAUCGCAGAAAAUAGAAUGAAACUUUUUUUUAUUUGGGGAUUAAAUGAGCAACGAUAUAAAAUUUUAUUUUUUAGGAUAGCGGCGGGUAAUAACCCCACAAAUUCUACUAAAAUUAUAGGGGUUAAUCAAACCUCCGUAAUUUGAUGUAAUUUGUGGGGGUUGAGUUAACCUCCAUUAUAAAACCUCUAGGAUUUAAGUGUUUUUUUGUAGUGGAU
rnacentral:lncRNA from 1 species